UACGAAGGGUGCAAGCGUUAAUCGGAAUUACUGGGCGUAAAGCGUGCGUAGGCGGUUUGUUAAGUCUGUUGUGAAAUCCCCGGGCUCAACCUGGGAAUGGCAAUGGAUACUGGCAAGCUAGAGUGUGUCAGAGGAUGGUGGAAUUCCCGGUGUAGCGGUGAAAUGCGUAGAGAAUCGGGAGGAACAUCAGUGGCGAAGGCGGCCAUCUGGGACAACACUGACGCUGAGGCACGAAAGCGUGGGGAGCAAACAGG
rnacentral:rRNA from 1 species